UACGUAGGGGGCAAGCGUUGUCCGGAUUUAUUGGGCGUAAAGAGCGUGUAGGCGGUUAGGUAGGUCCGUUGUGAAAACUCGAGGCUCAACCUCGAGACGCCGAUGGAAACCAUCUGACUAGAGUCCGGAAGAGGAGAGUGGAAUUCCCGGUGUAGCAGUGAAAUGCGUAGAGAUCGGGAGGAACAUCAGUUGCGAAGGCGGCUCUCUGGACCAGUACUGACGCUGAGGCACGAAAGCGUGGGGGAGCAAACAGGG
rnacentral:rRNA from 1 species